AGCACUUCGAAACCAGAAGAGCCCUGAGUCUGGAGUACCGAUGAAGUGGUGGAUUGUCGUUGGCUCUGUCUUCGGUACAUAUUCAGCUCUCUCUAGGCCGGCAGCAGAGGGGAUGUCGGCUGUCGGAGCGCCCCUCAGCUUCCCGGUCCCGGCCAGAUCCGAAAUGAGAGAGCAGCCAUGCGGAACCGCGCGCGCCGCACAGUAGCAGAUGCACAGGGGCACAUCGCGUCAGAGCGCUAAGGGCUGGUGGAAGGGGAACAUCAUCUCUGUCCAGGACUCCCAUGGUCAGCAGGAAGGGGCCAGUCUUCUGGCUCCGUGGGUUUUGCACAUUGUUUUCCUGGGCUGGGCGUGCCAGGAGCAUGAAGAUGCCGGGUGGAGAGAGCCAGGAAUUCAGGGCCCAGCUGCACAGGGAGGGUGCACAUGAAACCGCAGUCAAAAGUGUGCGGAACGGUCUGGAGCUCAGAGGUAAAACUCCAACCCAGUGCAAAUGCAAGAUGACACACCGUAGCUGACCAAGAGGAGAAUACAGAGAGGACAUGAUUCAGAUAUUCAGGACCCUUCUGGACUACUUCAGAAUCGACGGGGAAAAGGGAAUCGGGGGACACAAACAGA